UACAGAGGUCUCAAGCGUUGUUCGGAAUUACUGGGCGUAAAGGGUGCGCAGGCCGCGCGGGUAGUCAAAUGUGUAAUCCAGGGGCUCAACCCCUGAACUGCGCUUGAUACUUCCGUGCUAGAACUUUGGAGAGGAGUCUGGAAUUCUCGGUGUAGCAGUGAAAUGCGUGGAUAUCGAGAGGAACACUUAGGGCGAAGGCAAGACUCUGGACAAAUGUUGACGCUCAUGCACGAAGGCUAGGGUAGCGAACGGG
rnacentral:rRNA from 1 species